UUUAUUACGUUGAAGAGAAGAGUAGAUUUAGGAAGUAGUUAUAGCGAGUGGGUGAUGGUGUAAGUCCCAUAACGAGACCUAUAUUGAAGAACAUCUCUGAGUUUCUAACCGAAAUCUUUUUAGAGAGUAGACUUAGACGGAGUCAAACCGUUAUAUUUUGAACAGUAUUACUUGUACUGAUUAGAGUGGUCAUAAAUUUUUAUGACAAUUUGGGUGGUAACGCGAAUUUUACCCUUCGUCCCAUUA
rnacentral:ncRNA from 1 species